rnacentral:rRNA from 1 species
ACGGAAGGCAGCAGUGGGGGAUAUUGCACAAUGGGGGAAACCCUGAUGCAGCGACGCCGCGUGAGUGAAGAAGUAUUUCGGUAUGUAAAGCUCUAUCAGCAGGGAAGAAAAUGACGGUACCUGACUAAGAAGCUCCGGCUAAAUACGUGCCAGCAGCCGCGGUAAUACGUAUGGGGCAAGCGUUAUCCGGAUUUACUGGGUGUAAAGGGAGCGUAGACGGCAAGGCAAGUCUGAUGUGAAAACCCAAGGCUCAACCAUGGGACUGCAUUGGAAACUGUCUAGCUAGAGUGCAGGAGAGGUAAGUGGAAUUCCUAGUGUAGCGGUGAAAUGCGUAGAUAUUAGGAGGAACACCAGUGGCGAAGGCGGCUUACUGGACUGUAACUGACGUUGAGGCUCGAAAGCGUGGGGAGCAAACAGGAUUAGAUACCCUGGUA